rnacentral:rRNA from 1 species
GAUUAUGGCUCAGAACGAACGCUGGCGGCGCGUUUAAGCAUGCAAGUCGAGCGGCAAGGGCCUUCGGGCCCCUAGAGCGGCGGACGGGUGAGUAACACGUGGACAAUCUGCCCCCCGGCCCGGGAUAGCCCAGGGAAACCUGGAUUAAUACCGGAUGAGACGGGACCCGCGAUGGCGGGACCCGGGAAAGGCGCUGCGGCGCCGCCGGGGGAUGAGUCUGCGUCCCAUUAGCUAGACGGCGGGGUAACGGCCCACCGUGGCGACGAUGGGUAGCCGGCCUGAGAGGGUGGACGGCCACAUUGGAACUGAGACACGGUCCAGACUCCUACGGGAGGCAGCAGCUAAGAAUCUUCCGCAAUGGGCGAAAGCCUGACGGAGCCGACGCCGCGUGAACGAAGAAGGCCGUGAGGUUGUAAAGUUCUUUUCGGGAGGGGGAACAACCGUGGCAGGGAAUGGCCGCGGGAUGACGUGAAUCCCGGAAUAAGCCCCGGCUAACUACGUGCCAGCCGCCGC